rnacentral:rRNA from 1 species
AGGAGCGGUAGGGGAGCGUUCCUGCUGCGAUGAAGCCGCCUGGCGAUGGGUGGUGGAGCGGUAGGAAGUGCGAAUGCUGACAUGAGUAGCGACAAACAAGGUGAAAACCCUUGUCGCCGAAAGCCCAAGGUUUCCUGUCCAAGGACAAUCCGGGCAGGGUAAGUCGGUCCCUAAGGCGAAGCCGAACGGCGUAGUCGAUGGGAAGCAGGUUAAUAUUCCUGCACCAGCAGUUCAGAGUGAAGCAGGGACGGAGAAGGGUAGAUCAUCCGGGAUGUGGUAUCCCGGUACAAGCCCCGUAGAGGGAAACGAUUGGAACAAAACGUCGUUUCAACCUCGAGAGGUGAUGUCGUGGUCUUCGGACCGAAGUGAUUGAGCCCACGCUUCCAAGAAAAGCUGCGAUCCACGUUGAAGAACUGUUGACCGUACCGGAAACCGACUCAGGUGGGCGGGUGGAGUACACCAAGGCGUUUGAGAGAACUCUGGUUAAGGAACUCGGCAA